rnacentral:rRNA from 1 species
UACGUAGGGGGCAAGCGUUGUCCGGAAUUAUUGGGCGUAAAGAGCGUGUAGGCGGUCCGGUAAGUCAGCUGUGAAAGUCAAGGGCUCAACCCUUGAAAGCCGGUUGAUACUGUCGGGCUAGAGUCCGGAAGAGGCGAGUGGAAUUCCCGGUGUAGCGGUGAAAUGCGCAGAUAUCGGGAGGAACACCAAUGGCGAAGGCAGCUCGCUGGGACGGUACUGACGCUGAGACGCGAAAGCGUGGGGAGCAAAC